rnacentral:rRNA from 1 species
GUGGACGAACCGCUGGUGUUCGGGUUGUAUCGCCAGAUGCAUUGCCCGGUAGCUAAGUUCGGAAUCGAUAACCGCUGAAAGCAUCUAAGCGGGAAGCGAGCCUCAAGAUGAGUCAUCCCUAGACCUUUAAGGUCUCUAAAGGGUUGUUGAAGACUACAACGUUGAUAGGUCAGGUGUGUAAGUGCUGCGAGGCAUUGAGCUAACUGAUACUAAUUGCCCGUGAGGCUUAACCAUACAACACCCAAGGGGUUU